UACAGAGGUCCCGAGCGUUGUUCGGAAUUACUGGGCGUAAAGGGCUCGUAGGCGGCCAACUAAGUCAUACGUGAAAUCCCUCGGCUUAACCGGGGAACUGCGUCUGAUACUGGAUGGCUUGAGUUCGGGAGAGGGAUGCGGAAUUCCAGGUGUAGCGGUGAAAUGCGUAGAUAUCUGGAGGAACACCGGUGGCGAAGGCGGCAUCCUGGACCGAUACUGACGCUGAGGAGCGAAAGCCAGGGGAGCAAACGGG
rnacentral:rRNA from 1 species